rnacentral:lncRNA from 1 species
AUAUUAAUUAAUAAAUAUAUAGUAUUAUUAUUAAUAUAAUAUUAGUAUUAAUAUUAUUAUUAAUAAUAUUUUUGCCAACUGAUGACACUAAUUUCCAUUCUUAUAUGGUACUAAAUAGGGUAGAACAAGCUUUACCGCAGGCAGUUCAUCCCUGUAAAUGGAUCAUGGAUCAGAUUCUGAUGGACGGGGAUCGAAGAGCCGGUCACGGAUCCCAUGAAUAAAUUUGCCCAAGUUGUAGGAUAUGGAAUUGAAACCAGGCCUUCCUAGGGAAAAACAUGGCAAAAUAGCCGCGUAACAAUAAAUUCACUUAUCACAUUGGUUAUCCAGAUUCAAUUAUGUCUCAUAACCUCCAGUUUUUCAGGAGAGAUCCAGCCUCGGAAACUAUUUAUUGAAACUAUCCUUCAACUUUCUGGUUGACCUCACCAUGGAUGAUGAAUGUUUUCUGUGGUUUAAUACAAUUUCCAUCCGAUUGGCAUUAAGCGGCAGGGUAUUUCCAUGCCUACCUGGGGCCAGCUAUACAUCUGGUGAGGUCAGCAGUCAGGUGGAGGAUGGAGUUCAACGAUCCGAUCGCGGACCAUUCCUGAAAAAUGAGAUGUGGGAUUGGGAAUUGAUUCGAAUCGUCCAGUGUGAAGCAGAAUAUGCUUCAAUCGCGAACCAUCAGGCGACGGAUGAUAGGUAUUGGCUAGAAAAGUAAUCGCCACCAGUUAAAGUAUAGCGUAUGAGCAUAAUGAACUUAUCUGAAUUAAACAAACGCCCAGAUGGAUCACUUGGAAACGUUUCGGCUUUCCAUUCUAGAGAACUCGGGUCCCAUCUCUUGGAAAUAUUAACCAUGAAUUUCGGACCCAAUCUAAAGAUUCUGUCCUCUGUAAUCUGUCUGAUUAUUCUGUAAGGAUAGGCAGCUGUGACAAAGUUCUUAUAGUUUUGCCCGUUGAUGUUGCCACAUAGUAAUCACCACUGAUUGGAAAGUUGUGCCACCUAUUGACAAAAAUCUAAUCUAUGUAGAAAGUCAAGGCGUUUUCAUACGACCAUUAUAUAUUGAUUAUUUUUACAUUAAAUAUAGAAAGAAUGUUUUCUAUAUUAAAAAUAUACCUUUAUAUUUAUUCUUAUAAAUUAAUUUAAUCCUAUAUUUUAGAGUGGCUUAUCUAGCCAAAGAAUUUCUUCAUGAACUACGAAACAAUCAGCCAG